rnacentral:snoRNA from 1 species
UGGACCAGUGAUUACAUCUGCUAACGUAUGAGUCUUAGAUAAUGAAUAAUACAUGUCUGGGACUCUGAGGGCCAA